rnacentral:rRNA from 1 species
AACGCGUUGGGAGCUCUCCCAUAUGGUCGACCUGCAGGCGGCCGCGAAUUCACUAGUGAUUAGAGUUUGAUCCUGGCUCAGAGUGAACGCUGGCGGCGUGGAUUAGGCAUGCAAGUCGAACGAUACCGCAAGGUAUAGUGGCAAAAGGGCGAGUAACACGUGAGAAAUCUACCUUUGAGCGGGGAAUAACCUUGGGAAACCAUGGCUAAAACCGCAUAAGACCACGACAGGGCAUCCUGUUGUGAUCAAAAGGGGGGACCGCAAGGCCUCCUGCUCGAAGAUGAUCUCGCGUCCUAUCAGCUUGUUGGCGGGGUAAUGGCCCACCAAGGCUUUUGACGGGUAGCUGGACUGAGAGGUUGGUCAGCCGCAUUGGGACUGAGACACUGCCCAGACUCCUACGGGAGGCUGCAGUCGAGGAUCUUUUGCAAUGCCCGAAAGGGUGACAAUGCGACGCCGCGUGUGUGAUGAAGGUUUUCGGAUCGUAAAACACUGUCGACCGGGAUGAAUCUCAGGAGGCUGAAUAAGCUUUCAGGGUGACAGUACCGGUAGAGGAAGCCA